UGAGUUUAACACUUCAUGACUGAGAGCUGUCCUUCAUGACAACAGAACCCACAACAACCAUGACUUGUAUCACCAUCUUUAUCUGGAUUGUUGCCCUCUGUCUCCAAGAGUCCAGAGGCCAGGUCACUGUGACUCAGACCCCUGCAGUGAAAGCUGUUUCAGUUGGUCACUCAGUCAGUCUCAGCUGUAAGACCAGCAGUGCUGUAUACAGUGACAGCAAUGGACACUAUUUGCACUGGUAUCAACAGAAACCUGGAGGAGCUCCUAAACUCCUAAUAUACUGGUCUAAAACCCUUCAGUCUGGGACGCCAUCUAGAUUCAGUGGCAGUGGAUCUGGGAGUGACUUCACUCUGACCAUCAGUGGAGUCCAGGCUGAAGAUGCAGGAGAUUACUACUGUCAGAGUUUACACUACAUCAAUAGUAAAUAUGUAUUCACACAGUGAUACAGAGCUGUACAAAAACCUCCCUCAGUCAGACUGCACAGUGACUGUACUGCUACAGCUGGGACCUACUGCAGGUGCUGAGGGGGAAGAGACAGUGACAUGGAACACUGAUCAGUAGAGGAGGUCAACUUUGAAAACAGUAU